CCUACGGGGGGCUGCAGUAGGGAAUAUUGCACAAUGGAGGAAACUCUGAUGCAGCGACGCCGCGUGAGUGAUGAAGGCCUUCGGGUUGUAAAGCUCUGUUGUCAGGGAAUAAAAAAAUGAAUGUACCUGACGAGAAAGGACCGGCUAACUUCGUGCCAGCAGCCGCGGUAAUACGAAGGGUCCAAGCGUUGUUCGGAAUCAUUGGGCGUAAAGCGAGUGCGGGUGGCUCUCUAAGUCAGGAGUGAAAGCCCAGAGCUUAACUCUGGAAGUGCUUU
rnacentral:rRNA from 1 species